rnacentral:tRNA from 1 species
GGGGAAGUGGCGGAACUGGCAGACGCGCAUGACUUAGGAUCAUGUCUCUUUUGAGGUGAGGGUUCGAAUCCCUCCUUCCCCA